rnacentral:rRNA from 1 species
UACGUAGGGUGCGAGCGUUAAUCGGAAUUACUGGGCGUAAAGCGUGCGCAGGCGGUUUUGUAAGCCAGAUGUGAAAUCCCCGGGCUUAACCUGGGAAUGGCAUUUGGGACUGCAAGGCUUGAGUGCGGCAGAGGAGACUGGAAUUCCUGGUGUAGCAGUGAAAUGCGUAGAUAUCAGGAGGAACACCGAUGGCGAAGGCAGGUCUCUGGGCUGACACUGACGCUCAUGCACGAAAGCGUGGGGAGCAAACAGGAUUAGAUACCCCUGAGUAG